AUUUGCUUUUCAACAUCCAUUUCAUAGUGGUACAUGUGGCUUUGAUUAAUAUUACCAUAAAGACUGCCGAAAAUGGGUGUGGUACGGAAACCCAGAAAUGGCAUGAGUUCAACAUCAAACAUGGAUUAGAAUUUUAGUGGGGAACCAAGUCAAGUCUGGAAGUGUUACAGGAUGGAAGAGUGAGCCUACAGUUGAAAAAACACUGAGAGUGCAUUACCAUUAAGCAAUCCUUUAUAGUUCUGUCACAGCUAGAAGCCUCAAAUAAUUCUGCUUCUCUUGCUAAAGAACAACUUGUCCUUUACGUUCAGAGUGUUGGUGAAGCUGGGUAGUUAAAUGGCCCUGAAGAUGUUUCACUUCGCUGGCAUUGCAGCAAUGAACAUCAUACAUGGACUCUUUAGGAAAGGAUUUUCAUAUACUGGGAACACAACUAUCAACAAUGCAACAUUCUACGGGUGCUAGUUUAUCAUUCAAGAGCCUUAUACAAUGAUGUUAAUCUGCAAUUUGUAUGUCCUUUCCCAAGCUUCCACCAGAAGUUGAAUCUAUGAGUCAUGUAAGUCAC